UUAAUACGUGUUGACAUGUAUAAAACGUGGACAGAUGUACUUUAUAUUUGUUAAUAUUAUGUCCAACUACAAACCUGUAAAUCACUUUUUUCCCGAAUUUCUUUGAGAACGUUGCCUCCUUUUUCUGCCAAAUAUAUUGACGUCUCUAACAGUGUUUUAAACGGGAUCUCCUUACUCGUAUACCGCUCUGAUAGUGAUAAUCGGCUGGACAUAAAAUCCUUCAAAGCAUACAGUACUAUGAAACUACCACAAACAAAACAGAAUAUUCCAAAUGGGGAAAUCCUGACAGCAGUUGUCAUGUUGAGAUUCUACUCUCAACUAUGAACGAUAAAAGACUACUGAAAACAAUAUGCAGUAAAACAAUCUUGACGCAUAUGUAAACUUGUUGCAUUGUUUUGUAUCUAUGCUUUACUAGAGAU